ACAUCCUACGGGGGGCAGCAGUGAGGAAUAUUGGUCAAUGGGCGCGAGCCUGAACCAGCCAAGUCGCGUGAGGGAAGACGGUCCUAUGGAUUGUAAACCUCUUUUGUCGGGGAGCAAAAGACGCCACGUGUGUCGUUCCGAGAGUACCCGAAGAAAAAGCAUCGGCUAACUCCGUGCCAGCAGCCGCGGUAAUACGGAGGAUGCGAGCGUUAUCCGGAUUUAUUGGGUUUAAAGGGUGCGCAGGCGGGCUGUUAAGCCGGCGGUAAAAAUUCAGGGCUCAACCC
rnacentral:rRNA from 1 species